GCGCAUGCGCGCGGCGACCUGUGCGCUCGGGUUCUGUGCCGGCUUUUACCCCAGCUGAAUAACCUGGUGGUCACAAGAAAGCAAAGGGAUUUUUAUGUGACAUCAUCUUGGCAAGAAGCUCCCUUACCAACCUUGACCUCCAGGUCUCCAUGGCAACUGCUGCUGGGACAUCAUUGGCACCAGAUUGUGUCCCUUAAAGGCCACACUGCAGCAAGGGCAGAUAAACAAUUUCAUGGCAACAGUCACGUAGCAAUCUCAUUCUUAAAUGUGGGCUGGUUAGUUAGGAUGAUGUAAGUGGUUUUUUCCACUCUCUUCCGCAUUCUGACUCCAGAAUUCUGGGCCUAGGACAUAGUCAAAGAAUGUACCUUGGGGUAUGAGGUAAGAAAACAGGCUGGGGUGGGACUUGAAGAAGUACCUUCUUCUAGACACAGGGACAGAUUCUUUUUCCUUUCCCAGUUGAGAGUUCAUUUUCUGUCUCGGUUCAACAAAGGCAUGUUAUCUUUAUAUAAAGGAAGCUGUAAUAGACAGUCUCCAAGAUGGCAGCCUUUAGUUCUUUCCCUCCUCAGAUUCAUGAGCUGCUUCUCACCUCUUAAAUCUGGUCUACCUAUAGUGACUUGCUUGACCAACAGAAUAUGCUAGGAGCAACAUUCUGGAACUUCCAAGGCUUGGUUGUAAGAAGCUUUGCAAUAUCUGCCUGGAUCUCUUAGAACCUUCAAUAUGGGACACUUGCUCUAGAAAUCAGCCACCAUCCUGUGAGAAGUCCAAGCCACAGAGUGAGGCCAGAAAUAGUUGCUGCAGUCAAGAGCCCCAGCUGAGCUCUCAGCCAACAUUCAGCAUCACUGCCAGCCAUGUGAGUGAGUGAUGGUGACCUUGGAUGUCCAGCUCAGUAGAACCUUCAGAUGAUUUCAGCCCUAGCCGUUCCAACUGCAAGACAUCCUGAGUGAGCUGAGCCCAGUCAACAGAGAUGUGAGAGAUAAAAAUGCAUUGUUUUGAGACACUAAGUUUUAGAGUGUCUGUUGUGUAGCAGUAGGUAGUUCAAGAGGAAUGAAAUGCUAGAUGGGGUAUGGAAGAUAGGAGAGGACCUCCUGAUAGCUCAGCUACUUUGAAAGGCUUUAUUUAUCAGGAUUUUUUGCCCCUGCAUCCCACCAACACCAUCCCUGCUUUCUGAGCUGUGCCUGGCACACUGCACCACACAAACCUUGCACUGCUCACUAACUGUGCCAUGUAUAUAAGCCUCCUCAGCCCGAUGGUGGACACCUUGAAGAUAGGGACCUAUAUGAUUUGAUUCCUACCCUCCUUAGCACUGACAGAUUUGUCAAGCUGUUCCAGUGGAUAAAUACGGGGGAUAACUGCUGGAACAGCAUCUUGAGGUGUUUAUAUGGCUUGGCUUCUGAUCUUUGACAUUUGAUAACUGAUGAACAUGCUAUUUGGGCCCACCCAGGAGCCAGCCACACCAUGGGGGAGUCUGAACCUCACCCACACUGUGGCCACUCAGGGGAAGGAGACCAGGGCCAAGAACGCAGUUGCUAACCUCCUGCUUAGAUUUGCUUCUUGCGGGGCAGCCCUGGAAACCCAAAGAAGAGCUAAAACUGUGUGGAUGAGAGAAAACCUUCAGAACCCAUUCAUAGAGAUACCAGGAGCAGCUGAGAACCCAUUGUAGGAAGGACACAUGUUCAAGACCUCCCCCAUCUGCCCAUCUAGGGACAUGGAUGUUUAACAUGCUAGGGUCAGAAGUGGGAACAUAGGUCAGCUUGAGUAGAACCUGGUGCCUGUGCAGGAACCCUGCCUUCUGUGGGCCCAGCUACUCGGGAGGCCAAAGAGGGAGGAUGGCUUGGGUCUGGGAGGUCGAGGCUGCAGUGAGCUAUGUUUGCACCACUGCACUACAGCCUGGGCAACAGAGUGAGACCCUGUUUCAUAAAAAAUAAAUAAAAAUAGAAAGCCUGGCGAGCCCAGUGUCUACUCAGAGCUUAGGAGAGAGGGAGGAGAAAAGCAGGAUGAGGGCAGCUUGGGAGGCGGUCCUUCAUUCUGCCAAUAAACAUUAUUUUGUGAAUCAGGCCUGGCUUGAGGCACAGCGUAUGCAGAAAAGUUCAAGGGAGACAGAGUCCCUGCUCUCAGGUAAAAUGCCUGGAGGAGUUGUAGCUCCGAUACACAUCUCACGACAUGGGCAGAGCUUGGCUGACCAUGGGUGUAGGGGAGCUAUGGCCUUCCCUCCUCAUUAUAUCCCAGUCUUCCAACUUUGUGAAAGACCUGGAAUUCCCAUGCUAUAAGGUGGUAUGAGUGUGGGCACUAGGGCUGGGACUAGUCCAGGUCCCAGCUCCACCACUUAUUGGCUGUGUGACCUCGUGCAAGCUACUUAAACUCUCUGAACCUUUAGCAUCUUAUCAGUAAAAAUAAGAACAGUAACAGUUCUUCAUCUCAGGGUUGUCUGAGGAUUUCAUAAGAUCCUCCUGGCAAAGUGACCCCUUAGCUCCAUGUGUGGCACCUGCAGGCGCUUCGGAACCACCGGCUCCUAUCCUAUGUACUCCCACGAGGCAUGGGAGGGCUCUGGAUAUGAAAUUAUCUGCAAGGUCCAAGUAACUUUUGCUUAGAAAAAACAAAAGGGAUGAUGAGGGAAGAAGUCUCACUUAGGAACGAAAUUGCCUGGGGCCCUGUUUCCUGAGAGGAUCGCGCAGGAGUCAUAUGACAUUGGUCUGACUUUCCUGAACUGCCCACGCAUGCGCUGAGUUUCAACAGCACCGAGAACCUAGGCUUCUCUUCCUGAAACUUAGGAGAAGCUUGGGCUUCCCUCUGGCCAGUCCAGAGGUGGUUCCCAGGUAAUUGCCUGGUCCAAGAGCCACAGAGGAUUUGGAAUUAUGAGGGUAGGGAACUGCGGUUAGGGGGAUCCCAGAGUCUCAGGAAGCAUUUCAGUUCCAUCCCUUGACCCCACUUCAUGCUCUGGCAUAUCGAGGGCCCGGAAGUGCUAGGAGAGCUGUGAUUGGCAGGCCUCACUCCCUGCCCACCUUCCCUCUUAGCUUCCCCAGAACCAUAGCCCCCUUUAGACUGGGCAUAUGGGCAGAUAACAAAGGAUAUCAUGCUGGGGACGUAUUUCUGAGAGGGGGUGACUGCCCUUGCCCCUAAGUAUGAGUUGCCUUUUCCAAAUAUCCCCACAAUGUAAAGUGAUCGGCAAAGGGGACCACAGCCCUUGGUUCUACACCCAUCAAACAUGUGCUGAAAUCAGAUUCUUUUCUAAGCAACACAUCCAUAUUAUGCCACCAUUCAGACGAAACCAAGAGCUAAUCAUCCUGAGUAUGAGAUGUGUUCUCUGGUGAGAUGCCUGGACCUCCACAGGGGAGGUUGUUCUCUUGAGAAAAUGCCGACUUCCCCUCGUCUUUCAGAGGCCCCCUUCCUGACCAAAAGGCUCAAGGUAAGCAAAGCUAGAGCCCAGUGUUUGGGCUACAUUCCAGACUCCUGGUGUUUCCAACCCAGAGGGGUUAUACUCACUGCAAAUCUUUACUCUCCCUAAAAGCAGUUUAACAGAAAGAAGACAUUUGAUCUUUCCCUAGUACAUCUCAGUAGUUUGAUUUUCACUGUCAUGUGAAUUCAAGACAUAGAAAAAUAAAACACAAAGCCUUACCGGCCCUACUGGUUUAUCCAUCAUAUUCUAUUACCUUCUAAGAAGUCUGCCUUAUUAGCAUAUCUGAUCACUUGAGGAACACCUGGCUAGAAUGUUUAGGUGGUAGCAAGGGAAUGAUUGGCUUAUUUUCCUCCCCAGAUGUCACUCUUUGGGCUCUCCACCCAGGGUCACUACUAGCCCAUAUGGCACCUAUGUACAAGUUAGAAAAGGCACCCCUUCCUCUUUGUGGAUACAGCCAUGCCAGGGCACAGCUUGGCAGGAUGAGUGCAGGCUGAAUUUCAGCCCCCAUCUGCCUUCUAUGCAUGUUGGCCUUUUGCAGUGAACAGCCUGUGAAACUAUAUGUGGUGGCCUUGCCUAUACUCAAUGUCACUAGCUCUCAUUUCUCUUCUUGGAAAGGUGCGUGUUGGAGAGGGAAGGGAAAGAAGAUGCUUGUUGCUGUUCAUUACGGACAGGUUCCCCAAGAGUGACACCGUACUGUGGACUCAGCUUCAGGAGGAGAGAGACCAUGCCUGCAGGAAUCAAAAUGAAUCAGCACCAAUCCUGACCCAAGAUGAUAUGGGUUGACUGAAUCAGUUGUUCCUCAUCAAGUAUACUGGAAGUCAGAAUGGCUCCUCCUCCAUGAUGCCCCUGUACUUAGAGCAUCUGGCGUCUGUGAAGGGUCUAAUCCCAAGUGAGGAUUCUGCUCCUGAGACAGCCAGGACCAGACGAUUGCCAAGGUCCCUCCAGCCUAAAGGCAGUGACUCUAGAACAGAUGGGGCUGGAUGGUAACAGGGUAACUGGAGCUCAGGAAUGGAGGCCAGGUUAGAGGCAUGCUUGCCCAGUCAUUCCAGGUGCCCAGGUUCCAGGCUUAUCCCUCUUUAGGAGAGAAGUAAAGACAUGAAGAGGAACCCUCUGUGGGCCUGUGCUGACCCAUCUGCCACCCCCAACCAGAGGCAUGAGUGACAUGGGAAAGGGGAGUGGCGUUGGGGCUGCUUGGCCUGCCUCCUGCACCCCAAAGCUCUGGGUUCAAUUACACUCAUUGUCACUGUGCACAGAACCCACGUCACCACUGAGGAGAUCAGCUGGGCCCUGGCUGCUGACAGCUUGUUUUAUUCUUGCUAAGCCACUACAUCUUGGCUUUGUUGUUAUGUUUCCAAUAGCAACAGGAGAAAAGACAACUUUUUCUGCUUUGGGAGCUUAUUUUUUUCUCCCGUAGGAGAAAGCUCCAGCCUGAAGACUUGAUGUCCUUGGGGCCCCAAUGUGGCCUUAGCCCAGACCCUGGGGGCCAGUAAGGAGAAGUCCAGCUUAGCUCUGCCCCAGGGAAACAGCGGGUAGCUGAAGUCAUGGAGGAUCCAGGAGCCAGGAGCUAUCAACUCUUCUGGAAUUGGGCUCAGCUGCCCUUUUUAGUUUUGAAUGGCUACAAAAUAUCCACAGUGGCUUGGGUAGGCCUAAAGCAUAGACAGUGGAGAAAGGAAAAGGAGAGAAAAAAGGAACUUAAGAGUAGAGGAGAAAGGAGUGGGAGAGAAUGGCAAGAGAAGAAAGGUGGCUGUGGAGAAGUGCAGUGACACCAUCAGCACCCUUGGGCAUCACUUGGCAUUUGAAGCCAAAGAGGAUGACCCCACAGGCCUGGAUGAAAAAUAUAGAGGUUCUCUCUGGCAAGGGGCUUUUGCUUUCCAUUGAGAAGGAGCUGCCAUCAUGAAUGGAUGGAUGGAUGCAUGGACAGGUGGGUGGAUGGAUGAAUGAAACAAUAAGCGUGGUAUUCCCAGGAUUGAAUGAAUGAUAAAGGAAGGAAAAAUAAGUGAGAAGUGAGAGAAUCCAAUGAGGGGUUAAGCCAUCUUAGGCAGGGAUUGCCAAGGAGUGGUUUGGGAGGGCCUUGCCCCGUCCCCUCCAGUCUCCAUUGGCUUCCCCUAAAGUCUUUCUAAGUAAAUAAACAUGCAAUCUAAGUGGAAAAAUAGAGUGUUUACUAUACAAAACAGCCUGAUGAAAACCCCCUGGCUCCUGUAUCAGCCAAUAUUCCAUCCAUAGGUUCUCCUUUACAGAAACUCCCGAGCUGCCACUCAUCAACUACAAGGCAUUGUGUCUGCUUUUUCCAAAUCCCAUCCCAGACCAAUUGUAUUCAGGCUGUGGACAGACAGGUGAGGACCUGAAACAUGAUUAAAGGAUAUAGGGAAAAUAAACUUUAGAUUCACUUGAGAAUAGGAAGAGUUAAAGGGCCUUAAGCCUUUCAGUCACUCCUACUUAGGGAUUUGGGGUAUUAAUUAACAAUAGCAAAUCAUUGGGUAGAUUGUCUCUGCUCUCCCUUCAGUAAAAAAUGUCAGGUAUAGGCAUUUCUUCCUAUGCCCAGUAGGAAUAGUUCACUGGGGCCAGGAUCAAGGGUUAGGGGUCAAAGGACUAUACUCUCUAAGCCUUGAACCAAUAAUGUGAGCAGCUAGUGCAGAAGUGAGCAAGGCUCUUCUUUCAUGGAAGGUUCUUAUCAGAAACCAGAGCUGUCUGGAGGGACACAGUGAGUCAGAUUACAACAGCUACCCAUGGUGGGGACAGGUCAGAAGGGGUCACGCAGAGGCUGUAGGGAAGGUUGCUAUUCUUAGGCCCCUACUAUCUCAGGCGUCUGCUGACUCACUUGGGAAUCUCUGGACUCCUGGGUAGAUCCAGUCCAAUAACCUGCCUAGUUCUUGGGUAAGCCUGUAUUGCCUUUAAUGAUAAUAAAUAACAAGAAAAUAUAGACUUUUUCUCUAAAAGAAAGAUGCAAUAUCAUGUUUAAGCCUAUGCAAGAGGAAGGGUAAGGAGGUCUGAUUCCCAGAGAAGCAUCAAUCUUACCUCAGAUCUUGGAAAGACUCCUGGAAGGAAAGGGAGAGAGAGAGAGGCUAACCCCGGGGUAGUGGCCCUGGAGGCUUUGGUACUGAGUCACAACAUGGGUAGGGGAAAGGUACAUUAUAUUUGGGGCAAGGAUCAAGUGAAAGUCUAGGAAAAACAUCAACCUUGGAGACUGAAUAGGCUUGCCACAUUAGAAGCCUCAAAAGGGGACUUAAGUGUCCCUUUGAUUAAGGAGAAGACAGAAAAGGUGCACUAUGCAGAAAAUAACCUCCUCAGGAAGGCAAGUACGUUUAAUGGGUUUUCACAGAAAGGUGGGAGACCAUUUCAUUUUCCCUUUCUUAGGACAGGGAUCUGGGGAUGUUUGCCUGAGAGGUUAUAUGUUCGUUGUGGCCUAAUGUCUUUCAGAGUAGACUGUCACCAACUCUUUGACUCCUCCUGCUCAUGGAUUCCUUCCACCAUACCUUUGGUUUCCAUUUCUAAAUGUGCUUCAGCCUGGGGGAGGCUGCAGUAAAUGACUCUGUCUAACUUGCUUCCUUGACCUUAGGACUAACCUUUUAAAACUCAUGACUUUUCCUUCUUUAUUUAAAAUCUCUAUCUUUUAACUUUUUUUUUUCUUUUUUUUUUUGAGAUGGAGUCUCACUCUGUCACCCAGGCUGGAAUGCAGUGGUGCGAUCUCACUCACUGCAAGCUCCACCUCCCAGGUUCACGCCAUUCUCCUGCCUCAGCCUCCUGAGUAGCUGGGACUACAGGCGCCUGGAUAAUUUUUUUGUAUUUUUAGUAGAGAUGGGGUUUCACCGUGUUAGCGAGGAUGGUCUCGAUCUCUGGACCUCGUGAUCCACCCACCUCAGCCUCCCAAAGUGCUGGGAUUACAGGCGUGAGCCACCACGCCCAGCCUUUUAACUUUUUAAUUUACUCAUUCUAUUGAUUUGUCUUUCUAGUUAAAAAAUAAAAAAAUAAAUCUUCUCCAGGGAGCAUGUGUCAGGAGGGAAAAGAGUCCCUUGUGUGUUAAGCCCUACUGGCUAGGGUUAAAAGCUGAGUUGCUUGUGUGAACUUGACCUUGAGCAUGAUCCCCAAAUGAUAGUUGUCUCUACGUGAGUGGUCUUUAUCUGGCCUCCUCCUCUCUUAGCACUGACCAGGCUAUAUCUGUGGCUAAGACCUAGAGGAAAAGACUUGGGUUAGCCUGUGAAGCAGAGCAGCUGAGCUAGGAAUUCUAAGAAUGGGGGACAAAAGAAAAAAAAAGGUAGGGAAGGUGGAGGGGGCACUUCUUUCCUCAGGUCUGCUGUUAUGGUACAGCCUCCUGAAUUUGAGUUUCUCAAGUAGUCAGGGCUAGGCUCAAGUUGUCAGGGCUAGGCUAAGGGCAAACUGAGGCUAGAGUCAGUAAAGUGAUCUGCCUAUGGUCUUACAAUUACUGGGCAGUAGAUGGUUUACAUUUAGAGGCAGCAUCAACAACCCUGUAGUAUCAGUUAGAAUUCUGGUGGGGAAAAAGAGGAGAAUUUAAUGAAGGGAUUAUUUAUCAAGCUAUGGACAGGAUUUAGGGGAACUAACAAAGGAAGGUGCAAUACUUUAAGCUUAAUCACAUUGAAGAGGCAUUACCCUCCCUAAAUCCAAAGGGUCAAGAGGAAGGAAUAGUUAGGAGAAUCCACAGAGAGUACCUGUAAGGAGAGGGCCUCCCAAUAGGAUGGUGACAGUGCAACUUUUGGUAGAGGGGCAAAACUAAUUCACAGUGAUUUGACAGGAAAGGAUCUAGGGGAAUAAACAUCCUUUCUGUCUUGUAGUUUCCUGUUUGUGUCUCUUUUUGCCUGAGCACAACUAGAAACUAGAGGUCAAUGGUGCCCCAUUGAUGCAAUCUAGACAGGUUGACAGGCCAAAGGGUGGCGAGUGAAUCUGGAGAGCAAAUGUAAGAUAGCCAGCCACCUGGGAACACAGAUGAGAUUUGUUUGUAGUAAUUUCCAAAAUUUUUUGCCUCUGUCUCCAUUGCCAUACCUGUUCCUGCAUGGCUUGCAGAUGCUAGAGUUUUUCUGCUGCUUCCUUAUAUCUUGGAACCCCCAGCCAGGUUAUCAGGUCUAGUUUCUGGGCCUGCCUGCUAUCAUUCAUCAUUUCUUUAUCAAAACCUGUUCUUAAGAUUUUUGCUUCUGGCCAUGACAAAGCAACAGGAUCCAGAUUUACCCUCCCCCUGUAUCCCUUGGGAUUUGAAGCCAAAGAGGAUGACCCCGCAGGCCUGGAUGAAAAAUAUAGAGGUUGGCCUGGCCAACAUGGUGAAACCCUGUCUCUACCAAAACUAGAAAACAACAAAAUAAAUGUACUGACGGCUUCAGAUAUUGUACAACACACAGUGCAGAACUAUGACCCAUGAGAUAAAGAAAAUACAUGUGGUAAAUGAUCAUGACAGUUUCUGAUUGGAGGCACAUUCUGGACUUUACAGCAGGGGAAACAAUAUCCCAAGCACAGUAUGGUAGUCUUGUUAAGUUAAAAUACAGAAAUGAAGGUCAAGGAGACUGUAGUUGGAAACUGUGGGGCAGAAUUCUAGAAAAGAGGGGACCAUGUAAAAAAAGCUCCAGAAAUCUGCACAAGUGCCCUGUUGAGUGCUUAAUACUAAGAUGUUCAUACCCAGAGUGAAGCUUUGUAAGUCUGGGCAAAGAAUGACCAGAAGCUAUAAGCUGAAAAUUUCAGAGUUCACAUGGGAUUCUGAGAUGUAAAAAUAUCAACCAGCUUGAUCAGCUGGGGCAUUUAGUAGAGAUCCAAUGAGGUUCAUAUGCAGAUAGUAAGACUGAACUAUCCCUAGAAUAAAAGAAACGUUAGGUUCAUUCUAACAAAGCUAAAAACAAGCCUCUAAAGGAAUAAUCUUAUCCAUAAGUAACUGCCUGCUGGAUAAAAACUCAAUACUCCUUAAAGGAGGAUUUAAAAAUAUACAAACAUUCAACAAUGUAACCUUUAAAAUAUCCAACAUCUAAGCAAAAAUUACUAGACUCACCAGGUAGCAGAAAAAUGUGACCCAUAUCAGGAAAAAAGGCAAUUAAUAGAAACAUGCCUGAAAAUGACAGAGUUGAAAAGACAGAAUGAACAGACAGGCACGUUAAAACAGCUGUUUAAGUAGGCAAAAUAUACUCCAGGAUUUUAAGAAAAACAUACAUAAAAUGAGGAAAGAAUGCACUUCUUGUGGUGGAAAAGACAAUAUCUGAAAUGAAAGGUCAGUGGCUGAAAUUCAAAGCAAACUAGAUGCUACAAGGAGAAAAGUAAAACUGAAAACAGCAAUAGGAACUAUCCAAAAUGAAGCACCAAGAGGAAGAAGACUUCAAAAACAAAACAAAACAAAACAAAAAACCCAGAAAUGAACAAAGUCCCAUCAAUCCUUGAGCAAUAUCAAGUGGUCUAACAUAUGUAUAAUUGAAAAAGAAAAAAGAGGGAGAACAAAUUUUUGACAAAAAUCAAGGCUGAAAAUUUUCCAAAUUUGUUAAAAACUAUAAAUACCACAGAUCCAGGAAUCACAAUGAACCCCAAUCAAAAUAAGCAAGGGAAAUCACACCAUCAUACCAAAGUACAUCAUAAUAAAUUACUAAAAUUAGUAAUAAAGAGAAAAUCUUAAAAGUAGUCUGAAAAAAGCUGUAUUUUAUAGUGUCAUAGAGAGUAUAGGAAAUACUGCAGACUUCUGAUCAAAACAAUGCAAGCCAGAAGACAAUGGAAUACUUUCUUUGAUAUACUGAAUGAUACACAAAUCAAAUUCUGUAUCCAGCGAUAUAAUGAAGACUUUUUGAGAUAAAUGAAAGCUUAGACAAUUCACCAUCAGCAGAUCUACCCUAAAGAAAUGUUAACAUAAGUUUUUUACAAAGAAGGAAAAUAAUACUUGGAUCUACACAAAAGAAUGAAGAGCACCAGAAAUGGGAAACAUGAGGAUAAAUAUUAAAAUUUUUCAUUAAAAAUUUCUUUAAAAUAUUAAAGCAAAAAUAAUAAAGUACUGUAGAGUUCAUAACAUAUGCAGAAAUAAAAUUUAUAGCAGCAAUAGCACAAAGGACAAGAGCAUGUAGCUAAAAGUCAAUGGUCUAGAUAAAAUGAAAUAACAAAAAAGAACCCUCACUUCAAAAGAAGGCAAGGAAAGAUGCAAAAGGUAACAAAGAACAGAUGGAAUGAGUAGAAAACAAAUAGUAAGAUGACAUACCUAAACCAAACAUGUAUGUUACAUGUACUUGUAAUUAAAUGCAAAUGGUCCAAAUACCCCAAUUAAAGGUCAGGCACUAUCAGACUGGAUUUAAAAAGCAAGAAAUUCAUUUUAAAUAUAAAAACACAAAUAGUUUAAAAGUAAAAGAAUGAAAAAAGAUAUGCUGUGCAAUGCUUAUCACAAGAGAGCUGGAGUAGCUAUAUUAAUAAUAAAAAAAGAAGACUUUAGGACAAGGAAUAGCACCAGAGAUAAAGAGAGACAAUUUCAUAGUGACAAAAAGGAAAAUUUAAGCCAGGUGCAGUGGCUCACGCCUGUAAUCCCAGCACUUUGGGAGGCUGAGGCAGGCAGAUCAUGAGGUCAGGACAUCGAGACCAUCCUGGCUAACACAGUGAAACCCCAUCUCUAAUAAAAAUACAAAAAAUUAGCUGGGCGUUGUGGUGGACGCCUGUAGUCCCAGCUACUCGGGAGGCUGAAGCAGGAGAAUGGUGUGAACCCGGGAGGCAGAGCUUGCAGUGAGCAGAUAUCACGCCACUGCACUCCAGCCUGGGCGACAGAGCGAGACUCCGUCUCAAAAAAAAAAAAGAAAAAUUUAAGAAGAUUUAACAAUUCUAAAUGUUUCUGUACCUGCUAACAGAACUUCAUAAUAUAUGAAUCAAAAACUGACAAAAGUUAAAGAGGAAAUAGACAAAACCACAGUCAUAGUUUGAAUAUAUACAUUUCAUCAUUCCUCUCUCAAGAAUUAAUAAAACAAAUAGUCAGAAAAAUCAGUAAACCAGUAAGGAUACAGAUGAUCCCAGCACUUUGGGAGGCCAAGGCGGGUGGAUCACAAGGUCAAGAGAUCGAGACCAUCUUGGCCAACAUGGUGAAAUCCCAUCUCUACCAAAAAUACAAAAAUUAGCUGGGCCUGGUGGCAUGCAGCUGUAGUCCCAGCUACUUGGGAGGCUGAGGCAGGAGAAUCGCUUGAACCCAGGAGGCGGAGGUUGCAGUGAGCUGAGAUCAUGCCAGUGCACUCCAAGAAAGCUAGGUCAAUUGCUCAUAUGACUAGCAUUUCUACUCCUAGGUAUGUACCCAAGAGUAUUGAAAAUCCAUGUCCACACACACUGUAUAUGAAUGUUCAUAGCAGCAUUAUUCAUUUUAGCCAGAAAGUGGAAACAACUCAAAUGUGCAUCAACUGAUGAACAGAUAAACAAAAUGUGGUUUAUCCAUACCAUGGAAUAUUAUUCAGCUAUGAAAACAAAUGACAUUCCAAUACAUGCUACAACAUGGAUGAACCUUGAAAACACUAUGCUCACUGAAAGAAGCCAAACACAAAAGGUCACAUAUUGUAUAAUUCCAUUUAUAUGAAAUGUCCAGAAUAAGCAAAUCCAUAGAGAUGGAUAGUAGAAUAGUGGUUGCCAGAGGAAAGGGGAAGGAGGAAUGGGGAGUGACUGCCAAUGCAUAUGGAGACUCUUUUGGGGGUGAUGAAAAUAUUCGGAACUAGAUAAUGGUGAUAAUUGCACAAUUUUGUGAAUAUACUAAAAAUCAUGGAAUUGUACACUUUAAGAGGGUGAAUUUUAUGGUAUGUCAAUUAUAUCUCAAUUAAAAAAAUAAGUAUUUGGUAUAAAUGAUUUUAUGCCCCAGUGUUGAUAAUGGAUAAAGGCUUAAUGAGAGACUCUUCUCAGCAAUAUGGUUCAACUCAGACCAACUCCUCCCUACAAAGGCUACAGAAUCUAUUUUUUCAAAAAGUCCAGCUCUUAGGACCUUUGUUCUUAGCUGUGGUUGCUACCAGGCUGCCUCUGAGGCCUGAAAAAUCGUGUCAUAGGCAGUAGAGGUUGAAUUUUGUAUUUUAGUAUCUAUGCUUACUUUCCUGCAGUAUGAGUUCUUUAAAGUCUAUUGCUAACUUGCACUCAUAGGCUGAAUUGAAAGAAUAAAGGAUCACAGUGAGGCACUUUACAGUUUAUAAAAAAGCAUGUUCACAUUCACCACUCUUUUGAUUUUACGCAUUUAGAUUUAAAUUGGGCGUUCUGAAUGGCCACACAACAGCAGGCCCUAAACUCUAGCCCCAACCUCUCUGACUCCAAAAAUCGAGUCAUUCUUAAAACAACUAAAAUGUGCUUCUGAGCAAGUUAUGGAGAAAUGGGCUGCCACUCGCCCUCCCAAGAAUAUUAUGAAGGCUCUUAGCCAUUUAAGG
rnacentral:lncRNA from 1 species